rnacentral:rRNA from 1 species
GAGUUUGAUCCUGGCUCAGAGCGAACGCUGGCGGCAGGCUUAACACAUGCAAGUCGAGCGGGCGUAGCAAUACGUCAGCGGCAGACGGGUGAGUAACGCGUGGGAACGUACCUUUUGGUUCGGAACAACACAGGGAAACUUGUGCUAAUACCGGAUAAGCCCUUACGGGGAAAGAUUUAUCGCCGAAAGAUCGGCCCGCGUCUGAUUAGCUAGUUGGUGAGGUAAUGGCUCACCAAGGCGACGAUCAGUAGCUGGUCUGAGAGGAUGAUCAGCCACAUUGGGACUGAGACACGGCCCAAACUCCUACGGGAGGCAGCAGUGGGGAAUAUUGGACAAUGGGCGCAAGCCUGAUCCAGCCAUGCCGCGUGAGUGAUGAAGGCCCUAGGGUUGUAAAGCUCUUUUGUGCGGGAAGAUAAUGACGGUACCGCAAGAAUAAG